GUCAGUCCCGGCGAAAACGUUCAUUAUAAUGCAGCCUCUUGGAUCAAGUCGGAGUGAAAAUCCCACAAACUGCAAUGUGCCCAGGGCUAAACGUGCAGCAUCAUGGUAAUUUGGAGACACCGACGUCAUCAGACCAUCUGUUCAGUAGAACUGCAGCAAGGCUUUCCCCCCCCCGUGUUGUUUAUGCCUUGACGAGGACUUGGGGCUCUUCUCAAUAUCUGCUGGGCAGAGACAAAAUUGUGUUGCAAACAGUCCCUUAGCAUCGCAGCAAAGGGUAAGGACGGAAUACUAACUCCAUCUGGGAUUAUUUGUGUAAGAGGCAGGUGUAAUCAAGUCACUAAAACCCACGACCAGGGAAAGCAGGCAGUUGGCAUGUGAGUGGCCUCACAACCUGAUCUGCUUUCUUCCUGAUGGUUUCUGACGGACUGGGAUUGGACAAUCUGAUCUCUCCAGCCUCAUUGGUUCCUGAGAAGCUGUUCUCAAAAUGCUAUUGCUCAGUGCCAUGCGUGUCUGUCCUCUUCCCACUGUGCCUUUGAGCCUUCUGAACAAUCUGAUCCCUGUGACAUUUAUUGAGCACCUACUAUAUGCCAGGCAGCGUGUUGGGCGUGAGUAUACAGACAGCAGUACACAAAGGCUGUGCCCUUCAGGGGCUCACAGUCUGGAGGCAGAGACAAGUGGACACAAAAUAGGUACGCUUCUCUGCGACUCAUUUUUCCCAUCAUUAAAUGGGAGUAAUUAUCAUCCCUGCCUCUUGAGCUGUUCUGAGGGUUGAAAUGUCAAGCAGAAACAGAAAAUGGGAUCAUAGAUGCUAGAAAACCGACAAAUAUGGAGAAACUCUGGCUGCUACAAAGGGAUUCACUGAGAGCCACGUGGGCACUGGCAUGGGUGGGGUUAGUGGGGGCGGCCGGGUGGCAGAUGCAGGACCCGUGGUCAGAACCCUUCCCGCCCACCUGCCUGUGGUGGACACCCGCCCUGCACGUGGCGGCAUCUCCUCAAGCCCCCAGCCCUUCUGCAUCUAUGCUUGAGCAGGAGCUUCCUGUGGCAUCGUCGCGGGGGGUGCAUCUCACUGAACCUGCAUGGGGGCAACUGGGACGGGCCAGGACCAACUGCCCCCAGGGCCGACCCUCAGCCAAAGAGGGGUAGAGUCAGUGGAUAAACCUCCAGCCUCCUCAAUGAAUG
ensembl:lncRNA